rnacentral:lncRNA from 10 species
AGCAAAAAGCGUUGCCCCAUUUCCUUCUCUCCCUUCCCCCCGUGUCCUGACUUGGUUUCUCCAUGAUCUCCAGGCAGCCCGUGCUCAGUGAGUCUCCCCAACCCCGGUGUGCUGUCCGUAUCCCCGGCCAACCUGUGGGACACUCAAGGCUGGCAUUGGCCCCCCAUGACCUGACAGCCUCUGCUCUGUGCCACCACAGCAGCUACGCCAGCCUGUCCCGAGACACCACCCCCCACCCCAAACCGAGCAGCCCCAGGCCUGCAGUCAUUCCUGACCCCUUCCUUUUCUCUGCAUCACCACCCAAAUACAUCAGCAACUUAUUGUGGCUUUCUCUGAAUUAGUCUCCUGCGGCUGCCGUGGAAAUUAUCACGAGGUGGUGUCUUCAAACAAUAGAAAUGUACUCAGUUCCAGAGUCCAUAACAGCCACACUCCCUCUGCAGGCUCCAGGGGAGAAGCACAGUCCAUUCCGUGCUGCUGCCACAGAACACCACACACUGGGUGAUUUAUGAAGAACAAAUUGAUUUCGGCACAGUUCUGGGAGCUGGGACAUUCAAGGUCACCACGUUGCCACCUGUGAAGGCCUUCUGCUGCAUCCUCAUGUUGGGGAAGAUCAGAAGUGAGAACACAUGCUGGCCAGUCCUUUCACAGCAGCAUCAAUCCGUGCAUGGGGCAGGGCCCUCGGCCUGAGCGCCUCCCCCAGGCCCUAACUCCCAGCACUGCCCUGCUGGGGAUGGAAUUUCCAACAUGAAUCUGGGGGAUGCUUUCGGACCACAGCCGGGGAGCCUGCCCUGGCUUCCAGCUGCUGGUGGCCCAGGGGCUCCCUGGCUUGCCUCGAGGCUGCCUCCCUCCAGCCUCCAGUCCGUCCUCUGCUCUGUCCUCACCAGGGCCUCCUGUCUCGAGUCUUCCUCCGCCUCACUUGUGUCAUGGGAUUUAGGCUCCACCCAGAUAUUCCAGAAUUAUUUCAUCCCAAAAUCCUUUAUUUAAUUAUAUCUACAAAGAUCCUUUUCCAAACAAGAUCCCAUUUGCAGGCUCUGGGGGUUAGGAUGUGGCUUAUCUUCUGGGGCCACCACUGAGUCCACUGCUGCUACAGACAGCAUCUCAAGUCUGUCCACUUCUCCACCCUGACCGCCCCCACCACAGUCCGCCUCUCCUGCAACUCCUGGCGCUGGCCUCUCCUGCGUCCAUUUCUGCACAGCCUGAGCGAUUUUCAAAAACGACACCAGACCCAUGCUCCUGCCCACAGCCGCCAGCGCCUUCUGUCUCCAUGCAAAGCUGGACCCUGCUGGCGCCUGCAUCCCCAUGGUGUCACUGCCUUGGGGGCUCACAGGGACCCACACUGGCAUGUUCAUGGUGCGCCCGCUGCCAAGGCCGCCUCAUGCCAGCACUCCUUCGUCUCCUUACACACCACAGCCUGGAAGGGUCCUCCCUCUCUGCAUCCGCCCAUGUCUCCCCUUGUGAAAUUAAAGCACAGAAUUUCUCGUUUUGAGGAAAACCUUUAUCCUAUUUUAAAACAGUCUCAUCAUCCCCGCCCUAGUUCUCUCUUCCACUCACAGUAGCAUUCCACGUUCCCUGUCUCUGGGCAUCCUACAACCCUUAGGGCUGUCUCCUAUCCCGCUCCCCGGUGAAGCAGGCAAAACGGAUUUUUUUCUGGUUAAAAUCUCCAAAAUUGUUAAAAACAAAACAAAACUAAGCAAAGAAUCUUGGAGUUACCUUUAGAAAUAAGAGAGGACUUGUUAUGGUUUCUACUUAGGGAUCAACUGUUACCUCGUUAAAGGAUGAAAGGUUGAGUUUUUUGGCGAUGAACUUCUUCAGAUGCAAGACGGUCGCCUGGGCUGAGCAGCGGAUCCACUUCCGCUUCAGCCCGCGCAGUUUGCUGCUGUUACACUCCAGGCAGAUGCUCACCUGCGGGAAAGGACGCUGGUGAGAGCGCAGCAGGAGGGUUCCCCCGGACGGUUCUGGAGGCUUCCUUAGACAUAUUUCACUAAUUCCUCAAUCUAGGACUGCUGACCUUUUUGAGAUCAGACAUCUGCUUUGACUUCAACACUGC